AUGUUCUCCCAUCGCUAUUGGCUGUCAAAUUUGCGAUGCAAUCCGUCCCUAUUUCGGCACAAUCAGCAGAACAAAGCAGCUACCAUGAUUUGCCCAUUGAUCUCUUGGAGUGAUUCAAACCUGCAAGCACCAGGGUUGUAUGGAAAAGCAUGCAAAUUAUAUAACUAUUUGGGUAUACUCAUGCUCUGCUAUGUCAGAUUGAGGAGAAAUAAUUAUUUUGUUCACCCAUCCUAUUUUUUCCCAGCUACAGAAGGGAAAAGAGGAGUCCAGGCUCUGAUGAACACACCGUCUUUCCCAGAAACCACUUCAACUAGCCCAGGACUGUGUCUAUUAGUCCUCCAGUAUUUGUUAAGAUGA
rnacentral:rRNA from 1 species